GACGAAGAUGAUGUUGAAGGGAUUCCUGACGAGAUUUCCCGACUUCUUGAGCAAGAAAAGAAGAUCACACUCAGCUGCAUCUCGAGAAUCAGCAGAACAGCCAACUGGGGCAUUAUCAAAAGAAAAAAAAAGAGAAAAAAAGAAAAAAAGAAAGAGGAGGGUGCAAAAUCAAAAGAAAUCAAAAGAAAGCAAAAUCAAAAGCAAAAUCAAAAGCAAAAUCAAAAGAAAAAAAAAACAAAAGAAAGAUAGCACCCUCAAAGUCCCAAGUUGACUGAUGCUGAAUCCAGCUGAAAAAAAAAAAAAAAGAGAUUAACUGCCAUGUGUCAUGGUCAGUUAUAUCAGUAGAGAGUGAAGAAAGCACGCGUUAAG
rnacentral:lncRNA from 1 species